rnacentral:rRNA from 1 species
GACGAACGCUGGCGGCGUGCUUAACACAUGCAAGUCGAACGGAAAGGCCCUGCUUUUGUGGGGUGCUCGAGUGGCGAACGGGUGAGUAACACGUGAGUAACCCGCCCUUGACUUUGGGAUAACUUCAGGAAACUGGGGCUAAUACCGGAUAGGAGCUCCUGCUGCAUGGGGGGGGUGGGAAAGUUUCGGCGGUUGGGGAUGGACUCGCGGCUUAUCAGCUUGUUGGUGGGGUAGUGGCUUACCAAGGCUUUGACGGGUAGCCGGCCUGAGAGGGUGACCGGCCACAUUGGGACUGAGAUACGGCCCAGACUCCUACGGGAGGCAGCAGUGGGGAAUAUUGCACAAUGGGCGGAAGCCUGAUGCAGCAACGCCGCGUGCGGGAUGACGGCCUUCGGGUUGUAAACCGCUUUCGCCUGUGACGAAGCGUGAGUGACGGGAAUGGGUAAAGAAGCACCGGCUAACUACGU